ACCCUCCUCCUCGUCAUCCCCACCGCUCGCCGCCACCUCCCCUCCCUCUCUACCUCUCCCCAUCGCCGCCUCCCCUCCCCUUCUCCCUCUCCGCCUACCUCCGCCGCUCCUCCCCGCCGGCCGGUGCCCAGCGCCGCGGCCCCCUUGUUGGGGCGACCUCCCGCCCGACGUGGCCGGUGCCACGGCUCGUGAGGCCGGCCUCAAGCCCCGCGGUCCCCUACCCGGCACGGCUGGCCACCAGCUUCGCGGGCCCUUGGCUGCCACGACCGGCGCAUAGGCUUGACUAUGGCGCCAAUCCGGCAACACUGAUGUGGCACGGAUGAGGAAGAUCUGGAUCUGGCGGACCCUCCAUGUCCGCAGAUCCGAUGCCACUGACAUCAUGGGCAACGCCUGGGACCUCACCACCCUCCCCACGCCCCUGCCGGCGGCGGCCGCGAGAUAUACAUCUACAACAACACGUUCAACCUCGUCCCACUCUCCAUAGGCAGCGCAGGCGGCCUCAGGUUGCUCAAGUUCUUCAGCAACAAUGUCUAGGUGCUCCCCACGGGCGCCAGCGGCGAACUGGAUGUGCUCGAGAGCCUGCAGGUCAUGCUGUUGGCCACCAGUGUUUCAGGGGCGCCACUCCGCCAGAUACGGACGCUCAAGGAGCUCGAGCUCUCAAUGGUGCCGUCCAGCCGUCCUUGUGCUCCAUACUGGCUGAGGUUGCAAGGGUCAAGUGCCUUACCAAGCUGACCCUAUGCCACUUCUCGAUUAGGAACCCUGGUAAAUAAGGUUUUGCAAUCAUAAUAAGCAGAUAGAGCAAGCCUACGAGGACUUGCUGAAUUCGUCAAAGCAGACUCUGGCUAGCAUGACGGAACUGCAGGAGGGCCCGCCAAAAUAAGGUUUUGCAAUCAUAAUAAGCAGAUAGAGCAAGCCAACCAGGACUUGCUGAAUUCGUCAAAGCAGACUCUAGCUAGCAUGAUGGAACUGCAGGAGGUUCGAUUAGUUCCAUAUAUUAUUAUUAUUUCCUUUCAAUGCUAUGGUGCUGAAUUCGUCAAAGCAGACUCUGGCUAGCAUGACGGAACUGCAGGAGGCUUUGCUGGAGAGUAGCCAGGAUGUAAAGGACGCUGAUGAAAUUCCUUCUGCCUCCAAUGGAGAGAAUGAUGAGCGUUCAGAAGUACAGAGAUUGCAGACAAGCAGGGAGGGUCGUGAACAGAAGCAGCAAGAUUUAAAUCUUUUCAGAAAGUUCCGAAUGUUCUUGAAUAGCCCGACACUAGAGUGGUGGAGGCACUAAUGUGGAUGAGGCAUCUUUCUUGCAAUCUAUGCGCUCAUUGAGGGCGACCUUAGGUUUUGCUGCUGUGCGAGCAAACGAGAGAAGAUCAGAAGAAGAUGUGGUAUAAGUUUUGCAGUUGUGUGGCCCUCCUCCGCCUCUCCCCAGCCAUCAUGCCACCCCUUCCUACAGCAGGCGUGAGUCCGCAGCUUUUCGAUGCGGCUGACUGUAGGCAUCGCGAUGGCCUCAAGUGACCUGGGAGGGUAAAGGUUAAAUAGCAGCAUCCGGAUUGAGGCCUUUCAAAGCUCAGCUAGCAGUGCAGAAAAAAGAUGAACCCUUACUGAAUGCGAUUCUUUUUUCCCCCUUAAAUGAGUUUGCAGUUUCUACCUUCUUUUUUCAUUUCUUUUACCCUUCAAGAUGCUCUAUUUCUUACCUUAGUCAGGUUGAUAUGUUUCAGUCAUUUUUAGUUGUUGCCUGCAAGGUAGUUGUCUAAUUCAUAAAUGUAUGAUUAGGCUAUGUUACUUAUAUUGGCUCAUGUUUUAAAAGGCCACAUGUUGAAAUUCUCCAAACUAAACCUAUAGGAUUAUCCCUGCAAAGGUAGGUAACAUGAAACCCUAUUCAAGCAUUUAUGAUUGGGCUACGUUACUUCCAUUUACUUCUAUUAAUUACGCUCACGUCAGAUUGUAAAAGGAAAGCAUAACUGGUUUUUUGGCAGGCUCAAAACCAUACUACUAGCAAAUAGAGCUUUUUGUUCUACAUGGAUUUAAAAUGGAGGGAACGACUAGGAGAGGGAACUCAAAUCAUCAAAAGUUUCUUAUAGAAUCAGAGUAACAAAAGUAGAAAAUUGAUCUCAUGUUGUCAUGAGCUAUGCUAAGACUUCUAUGCUUUGCAGAAUGAAUAUAACACUUACCGUUGAGACUGUCGAUGUGCAUACUAUAGAGGUAAAUAUUGUUAAUUGCUGUAUUUUUUUCUUCCUCGUGCUUGGAAGCUGCAAGUUCCGAUUGGGUGGUACAUGUUUGACUGUUUUAGCUGUGGGUUGUGAUUGCCCCUUUCACUAAAUCUUGAAUGAUUGUGCCUCACGUAUUUAAUUUGUUCUGCAUGUACAUUAGUUAGGUUAGCCUGACAAAGAAGGUUUGUUUAUUUUUGGUGCUCCUUCCCUCUCUAAAUUCCUGCUGCAUAUAUAGUAGUUGGCUACCUAGGCAAGGGGUUUUGCUCAGAAGCUGAAUGUCAAGAUAGGGUUCUCAUAAUUUUUUAGAUAUGCUCUUUGCUGUUUUCUGUAUGCCUCAUCCAAAUGUGAGUACAUAUGUGUGAGGUAGCCAUAGGUGUCCUAGAGGAUUCUUCUGAUCACUAUAAUUUUGGUGUCAACAUAGGAUCUUUUGUAAUGUAUGUCUGUGCCUUAGUCAUCCUGUUUGAUCACAUUUCAGACAAUAGCAGGAAAUUGUUUGUCAAUUUAUUCUUGUCUUAA